GAUGAACGCUGGCGGCGUGCCUAAUACAUGCAAGUCGAGCGAACGGACGAGAAGCUUGCUUCUCUGAUGUUAGCGGCGGACGGGUGAGUAACACGUGGAUAACCUACCUAUAAGACUGGGAUAACUUCGGGAAACCGGAGCUAAUACCGGAUAAUAUUUUGAACCGCAUGGUUCAAAAGUGAAAGACGGUCUUGCUGUCACUUAUAGAUGGAUCCGCGCUGCAUUAGCUAGUUGGUAAGGUAACGGCUUACCAAGGCAACGAUGCAUAGCCGACCUGAGAGGGUGAUCGGCCACACUGGAACUGAGACACGGUCCAGACUCCUACGGGAGGCAGCAGUAGGGAAUCUUCCGCAAUGGGCGAAAGCCUGACGGAGCAACGCCGCGUGAGUGAUGAAGGUCUUCGGAUCGUAAAACUCUGUUAUUAGGGAAGAACAUAUGUGUAAGUAACUGUGCACAUCUUGACGGUACCUAAUCAGAAAGCCACGGCUAACUACGUGCCAGCAGCCGCGGUAAUACGUAGGUGGCAAGCGUUAUCCGGAAUUAUUGGGCGUAAAGCGCGCGUAGGCGGUUUUUUAAGUCUGAUGUGAAAGCCCACGGCUCAACCGUGGAGGGUCAUUGGAAACUGGAAAACUUGAGUGCAGAAGAGGAAAGUGGAAUUCCAUGUGUAGCGGUGAAAUGCGCAGAGAUAUGGAGGAACACCAGUGGCGAAGGCGACUUUCUGGUCUGUAACUGACGCUGAUGUGCGAAAGCGUGGGGAUUAAACAGGAUUAGAUACCCUGGUAGUCCACGCCGUAAACGAUGAGUGCUAAGUGUUAGGGGGUUUCCGCCCCUUAGUGCUGCAGCUAACGCAUUAAGCACUCCGCCUGGGGAGUACGACCGCAAGGUUGAAACUCAAAGGAAUUGACGGGGACCCGCACAAGCGGUGGAGCAUGUGGUUUAAUUCGAAGCAACGCGAAGAACCUUACCAAAUCUUGACAUCCUUUGACAACUCUAGAGAUAGAGCCUUCCCCUUCGGGGGACAAAGUGACAGGUGGUGCAUGGUUGUCGUCAGCUCGUGUCGUGAGAUGUUGGGUUAAGUCCCGCAACGAGCGCAACCCUUAAGCUUAGUUGCCAUCAUUAAGUUGGGCACUCUAAGUUGACUGCCGGUGACAAACCGGAGGAAGGUGGGGAUGACGUCAAAUCAUCAUGCCCCUUAUGAUUUGGGCUACACACGUGCUACAAUGGACAAUACAAAGGGCAGCGAAACCGCGAGGUCAAGCAAAUCCCAUAAAGUUGUUCUCAGUUCGGAUUGUAGUCUGCAACUCGACUACAUGAAGCUGGAAUCGCUAGUAAUCGUAGAUCAGCAUGCUACGGUGAAUACGUUCCCGGGUCU
rnacentral:rRNA from 1 species